UCCCGGUUUAAGCGUGUAGGUGUGUGUUCCAGGUAAAUCCGGUUCACUUUAACACUGAGGCGUGACGACGAGGCACUACGGUGCUGAAGCAACAAAUGCCCUGCUUCCAGGAAAAGCCUCUAAGCAUCAGGUAACAUCAAAUCGUACCCCAAACCGACACAGGUGGUCAGGUAGAGAAUACCAAGGCGCUUGAGAGAACUCGGGUGAAGGAACUAGGCAAAAUGGUGCCGUAACUUCGGGAGAAGGCACGCUGACACGUAGGUGAAGUGAUUUACUCAUGGAGCUGAAGUCAGUCGAAGAUACCAGCUGGCUGCAACUGUUUAUUAAAAACACAGCACUGUGCAAACACGAAAGUGGACGUAUACGGUGUGACGCCUGCCCGGUGCCGGAAGGUUAAUUGAUGGGGUCAGCGCAAGCGAAGCUCCUGAUCGAAGCCCCGGUAAACGGCGGCCGUAACUAUAACGGUCCUAAGGUAGCGAAAUUCCUUGUCGGGUAAGUUCCGACCUGCACGAAUGGCGUAAUGAUGGCCAGGCUGUCUCCACCCGAGACUCAGUGAAAUUGAACUCGCUGUGAAGAUGCAGUGUACCCGCGGCAAGACGGAAAGACCCCGUGAACCUUUACUAUAGCUUGACACUGAACAUUGAGCCUUGAUGUGUAGGAUAGGUGGGAGGCUUUGAAGUGUGGACGCCAGUCUGCAUGGAGCCGACCUUGAAAUACCACCCUUUAAUGUUUGAUGUUCUAACGUGGACCCGUUACCCGGGUUGCGGACAGUGUCUGGUGGGUAGUUUGACUGGGGCGGUCUCCUCCUAAAGAGUAACGGAGGAGCACGAAGGUUGGCUAAUCCUGGUCGGACAUCAGGAGGUUAGUGCAAUGGCAUAAGCCAGCUUGACUGCGAGCGUGACGGCGCGAGCAGGUGCGAAAGCAGGUCAUAGUGAUCCGGUGGUUCUGAAUGGAAGGGCCAUCGCUCAACGGAUAAAAGGUACUCCGGGGAUAACAGGCUGAUACCGCCCAAGAGUUCAUAUCGACGGCGGUGUUUGGCACCUCGAUGUCGGCUCAUCACAUCCUGGGGCUGAAGUAGGUCCCAAGGGUAUGGCUGUUCGCCAUUUAAAGUGGUACGCGAGCUGGGUUUAGAACGUCGUGAGACAGUUCGGUCCCUAUCUGCCGUGGGCGCUGGAGAACUGAGGGGGGCUGCUCCUAGUACGAGAGGACCGGAGUGGACGCAUCACUGGUGUUCGGGUUGUCAUGCCAAUGGCACUGCCCGGUAGCUAAAUGCGGAAGAGAUAAGUGCUGAAAGCAUCUAAGCACGAAACUUGCCCCGA
rnacentral:rRNA from 3 species